CAACAUUUCUCAUCCUCCUUGGAGAGGCCUGUGGAAAGAUGAACAGAGAGCUCCCGUACUGUGAUUUUAAAAUGAGCAAAAUGGAGAGAAAGAAUACAGACCAGAAUCAGGGAGCUCAGGACUCGAGAAACAGAUCUGGAAAAAUAGACAGUGGAGUUAGAAUCCUGAUCACUAUGGUUCCACAGCUCAGAGACUCUGCUGAUCCCAGCUCCCUAUGGACCCGAGGCUGGCAAAGGCAGAUCGCUCGCCCAAGUCGACAGCUGACAAACUGGAGUCUGCCUGCUUCAACUGAACACUUUUCACACCCAGAGAGGAGAGAGAAGACCCUCAAAGAGAUGAAUCAAGAAGGGAGAAAAAGUAAAAGUCCUUUCUCUCCACGUCUCAGGAUCUGAUUGGCUUUGCUGGCACCCUGCAGUUUCAUGAAAGGAAAUCUGACUCCAAGAAGUGCGGCCAGGAGAAGCCCUGGGGAUGGAGGCCAGAUGUUAAGACAACAAGAGGUGGAGUUGAGUAAUGGAUGGCAGGACUCCAGCCACCCGAAGGGAGCAAACACACCUGCUCAGGUCCUGAGGUACACCGGGACUUGGCAGGCUCAAGGAGAGGAGGAGGAGGAGGAGGACAGCAAGAGGGCUUGGCUGAAGAAACUCCUUUGGCUUGGAAACACUGCCCAAGCUUGUGGCAUGAGAGUGGACAUUCUUUUAUUUUUCUCUUUGCUGUUCCAGAUCUAAAUCCCCUUCCUAAUUUUGAGGAAUCACCCACUGUGAGUCAGCACUCUGCCAACAUCAGGAUGUGAACAGUGUGACAUGUUGUUCAUGACUGUAUGUGACUUCCGCCUGUCAACCAGCCCAUGAGCAGUAUUGAAAGGCACAAGUCCUUGGUCUUAUUUUUCCUGGCUGCCAAUUAGACCACAUAGGUCUAGAACAUCCCCAGCCAGGACUCUGGGAUGGCGACCAUGGUCAGCAAUGGAGGUGGACACAUUAUGUCUGCUGCCUCCUCUCCCUGUUUUCAAAGCCUGCUUCUCACGCCUUCUUACUGAUGCUUCGAGCAAGCUUUCCAGAAAUGUCUUUUCUGUCACUAUUGGCCAGAACUUAACAGCAGCUACCUGGCUGAGAUGGGCUCCACCCGUCACCUGCAAUAGGAGAAGCCCCUCCAUUUGAAGACCAGUGUGCCCUGCAUUGUGCAUGCGGCCAAGGCAAAAGGCAUAAGAGCACAUACAAUGGAAGAAAAAAAGUUCACAGUGCAACACAUGCUGGGAAACACAUUUGAAAAACCACCUGUCACACUUGCUGAAACUGCUCAUAUGGUGUUGGGAACAAGAUGUGGCCAGACAGGUACUAACCGUCCUGUUGCUGCUGUUUCCCACAAGGCAGACCCACGUUAAGACCAA
rnacentral:lncRNA from 1 species